rnacentral:lncRNA from 10 species
AGCACAGCUUUCAUGCCAGGUCACACCUAACUCUUGUCCUCACAAAGCCCUCAGUUUGCAGCAGCCGUGGUGUGACACAGUGUGAUAGAGUCAGAAGUUUGAGACCAGCCUGGCCAACAUGGUGAGACCCCCGUCUCUACUAAACAUACAAAAAUUAGCCGGGCAUGGUGGCAGGUGCCUGAAAUCCCAGCUACUCAGGAGGCUGAGUCAGGAGAAUUGCUUGAACCUGGGAGGCAGAGGUUGCAGUGAGCUGAGAUUGCACCACUGCACUCCAGCCUGGGCAACAGAGCGAGACUCCAUCUCAAAACAACAACAACAACAACAAAACCAAAAACAAAAUUGGGGCACAAUGGCACAUGCUUGUAAUCUUAGUGCU